UACGGGGGGGGCAAGCGUUGUUCGGAAUUACUGGGCGUAAAGGGCUCGUAGGCGGCCAACUAAGUCGGACGUGAAAUCCCUCGGCUCAACCGGGGAACUGCGUCCGAUACUGGAUGGCUUGAAUCCGGGAGAGGGAUGCGGAAUUCCAGGUGUAGCGGUGAAAUGCGUAGAUAUCUGGAGGAACACCGGUGGCGAAGGCGGCUUCCUGGACCGACACUGACGCUGAGGCGCGAAAGCUAGGGGAGCAAACGGG
rnacentral:rRNA from 1 species